CAUUCGCCUCUUAUUUUUAGGGCAAAUCAUUUCAACCUCCCCAAUCGCCUCCAUCUCUAUUCUCGUUCUCAACUCUCUCUCUCUCUCUCUGCAACUGCAAACCACAAGAUCUACAAGAAUCAGAAGUUCAAAACCCAUAUAUUUCAGUUUAUCUAUCUGUCUGCAAGAAUCAAAAGUUCAAAACCUUUUACCUAUAUCAAAAUUCAUAUCGGCAUAUCAUUUCAGAUUGUUCAAAAAAUCAAAACACAUAUCUUUCAGUUUCCAUCGCCCGCUGUUCCAGUUCGGGUUCGCCGUUCGCAAGCUUCAGCCGCUGUCUCUCAACUCUCAAGCUUGCCCCCCCCUCUCUCUGCAACUGCUAACUUGGUUAGCAUUGGGCCUUAACAUUUAGCAAGAACAAGGUUCAAGAAACAUAUCUCCUCAGUCAUCAGGUCUCUUUUACGAAAGAAGAGAGUUGAUGGGAAUGGGUGGAGUGGGCAAAAAAAAUAGGUAUGCUUUUUUUGCCUAGCUAAUUGAAUUAUAUAAAUCAUCCUACCGUUGUAACAGUGAUUUUUGUUUUUGUUUUCUUCGUUUUUUAAUGUUAAUCUUAAAUUUUCAGCUUGGUCGACCAAGCUUUUAUGGGAACGUAGUAUUCAUGUCUAUAAUGAGCGCUAUCCUUCCCAAGUAGAUUUUUUUUCCCGUGUUGAAUGUUGUUUUAUUUCUCUUUAUAAGAAUAGCCUAGUGUUAGAUUUAGAAUAAAUCACUUGUACUUCGUAUGAGAGUGAAAUAAAAGUCAGACACUGGUUUUAAUACCCUCUACUCUCUUAGAAUAGAUGAAUGUUCGUGUAAUUUGUUUUACUCCCUUAUAGUUUUAUCCCCUUGUAAUCAGGAUUAUGUGGAUCAACAAAACCUUUUAGUUAUGCUAUAUAAACUUCUUCCUGCAAAAUACGGUAAAUACAAAUCCGGUAUCGACUAUAAAUAAUAAUCACUAUUAUCUCCGUAUCGACUCAAGUUGUCUCGAAUAGCAGUUAAAGGGCGACAUGUUUGCUUCAUAUCAUACUGCCGUAUAAGUAGUGUGCUGAUGAUCCGAAUGACCUACCGGUUCAAGAUCCAAAUCCGUUCCCGGUUCAGAAUCCAAAUGUGAUUGGCCCGAAUGACAACAACAACCCGGAUGACAACAACCACCCGGAUCCAUGGGGAUUCGACCUUCUCUUUGGGGUUAAUUGCUUUUUUGUCGUUAACUGCUUUUUUGUUUUUGUUUUUGUUUUCUUCGUUGUUGAUCUUGGUUGGUAGACCCAGCUGGAGCAGGAUAAGAAAUAACUGCCAUGGGUGGGAUCAUGAAGGUUUAUGAUGGGUAACAGUGCCCUUCAUGGCAAUGAGAUCUUAAUGUCUGUUAUGCUUGGCGCGCAUAACAUUGUCCCUCCCCAAGUAAGACAGCAAAUCAUUGUGAGAGCAGACAUAGAAGGUUAGGGCAUAUCACUGAGUAAGACUUUGAACAACAAA